rnacentral:rRNA from 1 species
AGAGUUUGAUCAUGGCUCAGAUUGAACGCUGGCGGCAGGCCUAACACAUGCAAGUCGAGCGGUAGAGAGAAGCUUGCUUCUCUUGAGAGCGGCGGACGGGUGAGUAAUGCCUAGGAAUCUGCCUGGUAGUGGGGGAUAACGUUCGGAAACGGACGCUAAUACCGCAUACGUCCUACGGGAGAAAGCAGGGGACCUUCGGGCCUUGCGCUAUCAGAUGAGCCUAGGUCGGAUUAGCUAGUUGGUGGGGUAAUGGCUCACCAAGGCGACGAUCCGUAACUGGUCUGAGAGGAUGAUCAGUCACACUGGAACUGAGACACGGUCCAGACUCCUACGGGAGGCAGCAGUGGGGAAUAUUGGACAAUGGGCGAAAGCCUGAUCCAGCCAUGCCGCGUGUGUGAAGAAGGUCUUCGGAUUGUAAAGCACUUUAAGUUGGGAGGAAGGGCAGUAAAUUAAUACUUUGCUGUUUUGACGUUACCGACAGAAUAAGCACCGGCUAACUCUGUGCCAGCAGCCGCGGUAAUACAGAGGGUGCAAGCGUUAAUCGGAAUUACUGGGCGUAAAGCGCGCGUAGGUGGUUCGUUAAGUUGGAUGUGAAAUCCCCGGGCUCAACCUGGGAACUGCAUUCAAAACUGACGAGCUAGAGUAUGGUAGAGGGUGGUGGAAUUUCCUGUGUAGCGGUGAAAUGCGUAGAUAUAGGAAGGAACACCAGUGGCGAAGGCGACCACCUGGACUGAUACUGACACUGAGGUGCGAAAGCGUGNGGAGCAAACAGGAUUAGAUACCCUGGUAGUC